rnacentral:rRNA from 1 species
UACGUAGGGUGCGAGCGUUGUCCGGAAUUAUUGGGCGUAAAGAGCUUGUAGGCGGUCUGUCGCGUCUGCUGUGAAAAUCCGGGGCUCAACCCCGGACUUGCAGUGGGUACGGGCAGACUAGAGUGUGGUAGGGGAGACUGGAAUUCCAGGUGUAGCGGUGAAAUGCGUAGAUAUCUGGAGGAACACCGGUGGCGAAGGCGGCAUCCUGGACCGGUAUUGACGCUGAGGCGCGAAAGCCAGGGGAGCAAACGGG